UUUUUUUUUGGUGAGAGGCACGGUUUUGCUUCCGCGAGACGCAUAGCCAUGCCUCUCGAAAACGAAAAAAAAGUGUGUUUUUUCUUCCACAAGAGGCACGGUUUUGCUUCCGAGUAAGGCACGGCCGUGCCUCUACGAAACAGAAAAAUGCGUUUUUUUGUGAGAGGCAUGAUUUUGCUUCCAAUGAGAGGCACGGCCGCACCUCCCGGAAAUGGCUUCCGAAAAGGAAAAGAACAUGUCCGGUUUUUCCACAUAAAAAGUUCGUCAAAACAUAUAAAUAUGAGAUCUAGUUUUGAAGAUCUCGACACGAGCAACCGAACGGUGAAAACACUUUGAGAUUUGGACGCAUGGUUUAAGAGAUAAAACGUCUUGAAUAAACGGAUUUAUGAAAGAAAAAAAAACUCUCAGGUUGCGACAAGUGACGCACAUGCAGCGCAUCACUCCUUAUAAUCUGGGGAGGUGGAAGUGGUCUUUGGAAGGAUUCCUCCUCAAUUAGUGAUUUCGGGGAACUCCUCACGUGAACAUUUGUUCGAUCUGAAUCCUAUCUCGGCACAAAUCCCACGUCAGCCAGGCCUUUUGCUAGGCCUCUAGGCCCAACACAAUCUCCUUUCGCAUAAAAAUAAAUGAAUGUAAAAACUAUCCAAACUAUUUAAUAUACUAAAAAUAGGAAAAUCACAAUGACAUGCAAUAACUAUUGUCAUGGAUUGUACAAAAUUUUAUCGCCGUGUUGUAUACAUUUUUUUGACUAUGUCUAGUACAUUAUCAAAAAACACAUGCAUACUAAUUUGCCGUGGCUAAUAUAGAGAGACAAUCUUGUAGAAUGAUUGCCAUGAUAUAGAGGAAAACAAAAAAACACACAUAACAACACAAGUUUUCGAAGAUAGUGGGGGGCAUGUUAGGACAUAAGCUUGCCUUAUCUAAAAUGCCAUGCAAGAAAAUUAAGAAUUGCGAUGCAUGAGAAACUAAAUAUGUCAUGUACUAAAAACAUAAAUGAGAAACUAAUUAUGGUUAACCUAAGUUGCAAAUUGUUUCAUAAAAGAUGAUGGAACAAUUGCAAUUCUUUUUAUGAAAAAUAGUCUCAUGAUAAAAAUUGCCAUGGGCCAUUCUUUUUGUUUUGCCAAGGGGUACAAUGAAGAAUUUAUAAUGGUUUGUUUCAACAAAUGCGCCAUGUUCCAAAAUAAUUAACCAUGGUGCAAAAAAUUGAAUUUGCCAUGGCAGCAAAAAUAAAUUUGCCAUGGCCAAAUAUAUACAUAUGCCAUGAUAGAAGAACAAAAAAUAGAAUACAAUGGAUUGAAAUUGCCAUAGUUCAAAAACUAAAUUUUCCAUAUUGCAAAAGAGGACUUCACUAUAAAUCCGAUGUCACAUUUUUUACCAUGGAAAAUUGAAUGUUCUUUUGUAGCAAUUUAUGUUUAUCGAGGAUGUCAUGUUUAGUUGGCAAAGCAUGGAAAAUCUGCCUCAAUUCUUUUUUUUGGCCAGGAAAUUGCCGUACUCGUGAACUAAAAUUUCCAUCCUCACGCCGACUAAGUUUGCCAUCAAAAACUUAGAUCUGCCAUAUUCAGAAGAUUGACGUCAAAUUUUUAGCAUAAAAAAAUGGCCAUGGUCCAUAAAGUAAAUUUGCGAUGGUCAUGUGACAAAUAUAAUACUGCCCCCACCGAUCCAUAAUAAGCGUCGUGGUUUUGAAGUAAGGCUGAACUAAUCUUAGUUCAAAACUGCGACACUUAUUUUGGAUCAGAGGGAGUAGUAUAUUUGUCAUCGUGCAUAAAUAGAUUUGCCAUGGUCUGUAACGUAAAUUUGCCAUGUUACAAAAAGUAAUCAGAAAAAUUGGUUGCAUUUUCCAAGUUUUGGAAAAAUAAGAAAUGCUUUGUAAAGGCCAUGUGAUCAUAAGGAAAAUUAAAAAAAUGUUGCAAUGUGUGUAGAACGAAAUUCGUAGAGUUUUUAUGUGAGCAUUAAAAUAUGUUAUAAAUUUUGCAAUGUUUUCUAAAAAAGUUUUUCGAAGUUGCCAUGUGACCAUAAAAAAAUUCAAAAGUUUUCAUGAAUGGAGGUAAAUAUCCGAUAGUUUGCCAUGUGAGAAUUUAAAAAUGUUUACUAAAUUUGCCAUGUUUUGGAUUUCUUCCCUACAUUUGCCAUGUUGUUGACAUAGUAUGUAAAAAAUGCCCAUGGUAAAGAGACUUUGCCAUGCUAACUACAAUAACAAUGUCAUGACGCCCAUGAAAAUACUUGCCAUGAUUCUAAAAGAAUGAUAUUAGUGUUAAAAUGUGUGUAAGUUUGUCCUGGUGGCAAAUACGGUGUAAAAUUGCCAUGCUGCAUAGAAACCAAUUACCAUGGCGAAAACGCAUCUUAAAAUCUUGAGAGAGACAUUUCAAAACAUAAAUUACCAAGGGGGCACAUCAUAAUUUUCCAUUUUCGUGUUUUGACAUUGUAAAAUGUUACCAAGGCAAAAAGUGCAAACUUAAUUGACAUGGGAAAACAAAACAAAAAGUCCUAGAGUUUCGCAAGUGAGCACUAAUGUUUUUUGUAAAUUUUCCAUGUUUUAUAAAUUUUAUUUCUAAAUUUGCCAUGUUCAAAUAAUUGACAUAGUAUGUAAAAAAAUAUCCGUGAUAAAGAAAAUUUGCCAUGCUAUCUAGGUAUAAUAAAAAUGCCAUGAUGCACAUGAUUUUUGCCAUGAUUCUAAAAAAAUGAUAAUAAUGGCAAAAUGUAUGUAAGUUUGCCAUGAUGGCAAAACCGGUGUAAACUAGUGAUGAUGAAUAGAAACCAAUUUACCAUGGCAAAAAUGCAUAUUAAUUCAUCACGGAUACAUUCAAAACAUAAAUUGACGUGUGGACACAUCAUAAACUUGUCAUUUUGUUAUUUUUGACACCGUAAAAUGUUGUCACGGCAAAAUUGCAAACCUAAUUGCCAUGGACAGUUUACAUGACAAGAAUUUAGUUGACUGAAAAAAUUGGUUGCUGUUAAUGCAUAUUGCACAUGUAUAUCCUUCAGUUGACUGAAAACCCCAUGAAAGAAUUGCAGUAGAUGGAAGUGGAGUGUUUCUUUGCCUCUGGCAAAGCUAACUCCCUCUGCUGAAUCUCCUCCCCGAGAUGGACACCAGCUGCCGCUCUCCCUGCACGUACCUGGCGGCAGCCUUCACGUCCCAGCCGUCACAGCCCUGCCAGGCAUCUCCAGCAGCCCCUUCCGCCCGCCUCGUCUAAGGCCAACUCCGCCACACGACCUCAUCUUAUCUGGAUUUCGUUUGGGGUAGAACGGACGAAUAGCACGGCCCAACGUGCGGCCCUAAACAGACAAAUGUCCGAAUUCUGUAUGUUUUCGACCCAUUCCCGGCCCAAACUUGCGCCGAGUUUGGGGUGAAACGGACAUCGCGCGGACGGGCUCGCCGCACGCCCUUGUCCUCCCGUGGCCCGCCUGUCGAGGACACUAGCAGCCCCAUCGCUUCCAACGCCUCCACCCCUCUCCCCGCCCCACCCCCCGCCGGCGCCGCUGCUAUUCUCCGGCCGCCUCCUCACUGCGCAAGCCACGGCCGUCCAUACCAAACCACAUAUCGACAUGGCCGCCAACGCGCCCACGCUUUCGCCGUAGUUUUGGCCGUCGAUCGGAGGAGGUUUGGCCAUCGCCAUCGUAGCCGGUGGCAGAGGGGAUACGACCACCAGCGACGUACCACGGCGGCCGCGGCAGCUUCCGACGAGAGCUCCAGAGCGGCCAGUAGCCGGCCGCCAACCACCCUUGCUGCGUCGAGGUGAUCAUCGCGGCCUCUUUGCCACCACGAUCGCAAGGUGUUCGACACUUUGCCCAGAAAGGUAUGGACAGUGGAGAUGAGUUUUUCUUCCACCACUUCAUUUGUUCAUCGGACGAUUCAUCGUCGGAUGAUGAAGAUCUUGUGGUGGCUGCACUACACAUUCACGACCACAUUCAACGGCAGCUUCCUCGGUACAGGGGGUCACUCCCUGGUCGUGCUCCCAACCUGAACCGCAACAGGGAGAGAGGCCACGCCCUGCUCUAUGCCGAUUACUUUGCCAACACCCCGCUCUUCAAGCCAGAUAAAUUCCGUCGCCGUUUUUGAAUGGCAAGGCAUGUGUUCAAUCGUAUCCGAGAGGGAGUGGUUGCUCAUGACCGAUACUUCGAGUGCAAGACGGAUGCCCUUGGCAAGCUUGGAUUCUCCUCUUGCCAGAAAUGCACCGCGGCCAUCCGCAUGCUUGCAUAUGGAAUUCCAGGCGAUUUGGUGGAUGAGUAUGUGCGUAUGAGUGAGACAACAUGUCUGAUGUCAAUGUACAAGUUUCUGCAGGGCUGUGAUCGAGGUGUUUGGCCCGGAGUACUUGAGGCAGCCAACUGGUGCUGAUACAGAGUGAACGCAGCUAGAGGCUUUCCAGGCAUGCUUGGCAGCAUAGAUUGUAUGCACUGGGAGUGGAAGAACUGUCUAUUUGCUUGGUAGGGCCAGUAGAAGGGGCAUGUCAAAGCGUGCACUGUCAUAUUAGAAGCGGUGGCUUCGCAGGAUCUUUGGAUAUGAUAUUCUUUCUUCGGCAUGGCAGGUUCUCACAAUGAUAUUAACGUGCUGCAGCGUUCUCCAGUCUUCGCAAGGCUUGCAGAAGGCCACUCCCCACCUGUCAACUUUGAGAUCAAUGGCCACCAGUACAACAAGGGAUGUUAUCUAGCUGAUGGUAUAUAUCAUCAAUGGUCAACUAUUGUGAAGACAAUCUCGAAACCCCAAGGUGAGAAGAGAAGGAGAUUUGCCCAAAUGCAAGAGAGUGCUAGAAAGGAUGUGGAACGUGCUUUUGGUGUGCUUCAAUCCCGGUGGGGUAUCGUUCGAAACCCUGCACUGUCAUGGGAUGAAACGAAGCUUUGGGAGGUGAUGACUGCUUCUGUGAAUAUGCACAACAUGAUCGUCGAGGACGAGCGUGAUGAGAGUAUCUUCGACCAAGGAUUCGAUUACCAAGGUGAAAAUGUUGAGCCCCUGCACCAAGAACCGGCCACAUUUGAACAGUUUAUCCAAUUCCACCGUGAGCUGCGUGAUUGGCACACUCACUUGGAUCUUCAAAAUGACUUGGUUGAGCACGUGUGGGAUCACAUUGGCAACCAAUAGAUGUAUUGGUUCAUUUUAUGUUCAGUCAAGACAAUUUCGAUUUGGUUAUAAAACUAUUUUAUUAGAGACAAUUUUAGUUGGGUUGUAAAAUUAUUUUUAUUUCCAGACAAAUAUUUGGACGUGCAAACUAGUUUUGAUAUGAAAAUAUGAGCAUUUUUUGCCCUGGCAGACAGGAUGGGGCAAACGGAUGUGGCCGCGCGCUGGGCGCAGGCCACCGCAUCCCAGGACAGGCCCCACACGAUCCCAUCGCUCUACUCAAAAGGAUAAAAUCCGGUCAAACCGGACGUCCGUUUAGGGUAACGCGGUGGAGUUGGCCUAAGCUGCGCAUCGGCCUACCCCGAGCGCCCUACACCCUUGGCCUGCAUCGCUGCAGCCACCCCCGCGUCCAUGGCCGCCGCCAGGGCUAGGCGCUACUCCGCCGCGAAGCUCCGGCAGCAGGUACCAGAUUGAUGGGGGACGUCAUCACCUCCCAUCCGCCAGCAGCGCUCCCUCGUCCGGAGCCGCCUGCAGUUCCCCGCCGUCCGCCUCGCCUGUGACGUCAUACAUACCGCCGCCGCUCCAUAGGGACGGCGUCAUAGUCGUCCUCUGUUGCACAGGACGCUCCUCAGGUCGUUGGCGCGGAGAACAUAAAGUCUGAGAUUUUUAGCUUUUCCGUUUGUUUUUGUUUUUCAAGGGAAACGAAGACUUUUUUGACGCGAUCGGGCCAACUGUUUUGUCCCUGAGACCCAUUCCAGCAGCGCGCAUCCGGAUACGUCAUGCGUGCCGUACCAGAAAGACCACUGGCCAAACCUGACCAGCAGCCGCGGGAAGAGAAGGCCCGCGGUCUACCACGUAGUAUGACCCACCGGUUCUUUUCUUGUUGCGCUCAAUUCAGCGAGGAUGGGUCAGCUCAAAUUUGUUUCCGGCCGCCUAGACAGAAAGUUGUAGUUCGUUCGAGAGGACAAGAGACAAUUUUCCCCUUCAGAAAACAAAACCAAAGAUCACAAGGCACCAAGGAGUACAUUUUUUUCCAGGGGGCACCAAAGAAUACAUACCGAGUUGUGUAUCACAUUUCUUUAAGUUUUUUUUUCACAGAAGAGGGUAGAACUGCAAUAGUCCUAUUCUGGUCCGAGUUCAAAUGCACCCUUAAAAUCAGAAGAAAAAAUAGUGACCAUAACCCCUUAUUGUUGGCCUCGGGCCCAGAGAAAAAAGGCCCGUCCCACCAACAUGAGUUCAGAUUUGAAUUGAGCUAGCUUAAAAAUGAGGACUUCUACAUUAAAGCAAAGAAAAUCUGGGAGCAACCUGUGUCAGCUCAGGAUCCUAUUGAUAUCCUUAAUAUUAAGCUCAAACAUAUUUAAAAAAUACUUCAAAGGAUGGGGUUCCCAUUCCUUUGGACAUGCCAAGAAGAGGAAAAAAUACAUUAAAGAAGAGCUGGAAGAGAUUGAGAAAUUAGAGGAAGGGGGACCUCUUGACCCAGAACUAUAUGAAAAAAGGACGACCCUUAACUCGGAGCUCAAUGAGCUUCUGAUCAUGGAAGAAAUCUUUUGGUUGCAACACUCCAAUGAGCGAUGGUUGCUCAAAGGAGAUCGUAACACAGCCUUUUAUCACCGAGUAGCGAAUGGCAGAAAGCAUAAAAACACGAUUCACUCCCUCACGGCAGGAGAGGUGACCAUCGAGGGCACAAAAGAUCUCCUGGCACAUGCAACCGCGUUCUAUAAGGAGUUAUUUGGACCGGCCAGGGGAAACAUGUUCCAUCUAUCUCCUGAAACGUGGAUUGAGGAGGAAAAACUUAAUGAAAAGGAUAACAUUCUUCUCACUAGUGUAUUCACUGAAGAGGAGGUGAAAAAAGCUCUGUUCAACAUGGCUUGUAACAGAGCACCCAGCCCGGAUAACAUACCAGCAGAAUUUUAUAUUCAUUGCUGGGAUUUUGUCAAAAAAGACAUUGUGCGACUGUGUGAGGCCUUUUAUAGCAACUCCCUGGAUGUGGCUCGACUGAAUUAUGGGGUUAUCACCUUGAUCCCUAAGAUGAAUGGGGCUAAAAAGAUUCAGCAAUACCGCCCCAUAUGCCUCUUGAGAUGUCCUUAUAAGCUUAUAACUAAAGUGUUAGAUAAUCGGGUAGCUAUUUUUGCUGAUAAGCUGAUUAGUAGACAUCAAAAUGCUUUCAUUAAGCACAGAAAUAUCAUGGAUGGCAUCCUAACACUACAUGAGGUGAUGCACCACACUCAUCAUAAGAAAAGGGUGGGGGUUGUAUUGAAACUAGACUUUGAAAAGGCCUAUGAUAAAAUUAAUUGGGACUUUCUCCUUGAUUGUCACCGAGAUCGUGGAUUCGGGCCUACUUGGUGUGGGUGGAUUAAAAAAGUUCUUUGCAAUGGAACGGUUAGUAUUAAGCUCAAUAAUAAGGUGGGCCCGUAUUUCCAGAGUUAUAAAGGGGUACGACAAGGCGACCCAUUCUCACCUUUCCAGUUUAAUUUGGUUGUGGAAGUUCUUUCAAAAAUGGUUCGUAAUGCUCAAAAAGAGAAGUUGAUUACUGGGCUGGCACCUGAUCCCAUUGAAGAUGGGGUGGCGAUCCUCCAGUAUGCUGAUGAUACAGUAAUUUGUUUUGAACAUAAUGAGGAGGCCGCUGUUAAUCUGAAACUUCUCCUUUAUAUGUUCGAGCUUAUGUCGGGGCUCAAAAUUAAUUUCCUGAAAAGUGAGAUACUUUGCAUUGGGGGGGACAAUGAUACUUUGAGCUUUUAUGCUGAGCUUUUUAAUUGCCAAAUAGGUCACUUCCCAAUGAAAUAUCUGGGAGUGUCAGUCAGUUACUCGACGCUUCGUAACCUACACUGGAUCUAGAUUCCUGAAUGCUGUGAAUCUUGGAUUGGUAAUGCAGCCUCUUCUGGUGGGAGACUAAUCCUCCUUAACUCAUCCCUUACCAGCAUUAUUUACUUCUAUAUGUCCAUGUUUUUGAUAACUAAGAUGAGUAUUGACAAAUUAGAUAAACACCAGAAACGUUUCUUUUGGCAAGAACAUGAAGGGCGCAAAAGAUACCAUUUGGUGAAGUGGUCUAGGAUCUGUAGAUCCAAGAAUAAAGGGGGCUGGGGGUGAAAGACCUUUGUAAACAAAAUAUUAGCUUGAUCACCAAGUGGUGGUGGAAGCUUGAGACACAACAUGGCCUGUGGCAAGAUGUUGUUGGAGCCAAAUACUUCAAAAAGGACACCAUUGCCUCAGUUAGAUGCAAAUUUGGGGACUCUCCAAUGUGGAAAGCUAUUAUGAAAGUCAAGGAAUAUUAUAUGGCAGGUAGGUGUGUGGUUCUGAAUGCGGGGAACAUUGCUAGAGUGUGGAACGAUCCCUUGAAUAAUAGUCCACCUCUUUGCUCUAAGUACCCUAUGCUUUUACAAUAUCUGUAAUAAACAAUAAAUUAUGGUGGCUGAAUUUAAAAAAGGGGUGGGAGAUGAUUUCUUCCGAAGACGACUCCAUGCUCAGCUUAAUGAGCAAUGGGAGGAAAUGCGAGCCACGGUGGAUGCGUGGCCUUGCUCAGAGGACCCAAACCAGAUCAUUUGGUCCUUGGGCAAGAAGAAAAAUUCACAACCAAAUCGGUUUAUGAGUACCUGGAGCGUAAUCUAGCUAGAUGCGAUUAUAGAUGGAUUUGGAGAGCGAAAAUCCCCCUAAAAAUUCAAAUAUUCAUGUGGCAACUCUUUCAGGACUCUAUCCUGCCUAGAGAUGUCAUGAAAAGGCGGAGAUGGGCUGGCAACCCACAGUGCUCAUUCUGUAGAAAGAGAGAAACCUCUCAACAUUUGUUUUUUACCUGUCCAGUUGCUAGAGUGAUUUGGAGGACAGUUGGUUGUGUCUUGGGCACUAAUCUUUGUCCAAACAACAUAUGGCAAUACUUUUCAUGAUGCUACAUAUUUCUCCCUGAUGGUGCUAAAUACUAUACAUUUGGAUUGGCAGCUGUGUGUUGGGCAAUCUGGAUUUGCCGUAACCAGGCCACCUUUGAAGGGGGAAAAUUAAGAACCCCCUUUGACAUCGUGUAUUCUACUUGUAGAUAUUUGUCAUAUUGGGAAGGUCUGAUGAAUGGCGCUGAUCGGGAGGCUAUGGAGCGCGGUGCAAAAAUGCUGAGGACCAACACUUCGACAAUGAUGAGGCUGUGUGCGGCACCAAGUGGGGAGACAGAAGGCUGACGCGAGCCUGGUAUCUGAGAUAGUAAUACCUACUGGGCUGCUGUUGUGCUCCUGCGUGAGCUGGUCUUUGCUCGUUUGUGAGCUUUUGGUCUUGCAGUGGUAGUUUGAACUAUUUUCCUGUGUGGUUGGUUAGUUCUUGGGUGUCUUUGGGUUGUCGCCCCACGGUAAGCUGCUCGAUGCCAAGUGCUUACAGUGGGUUUCCCAAAGAUGCGUUGAACUUGCUAUCCCCUUUUUAGUUUCCUUUUAAGACUUUGCUGGAACUGAUGUAUUUCCGUUAUGAUAAGUAAUGGAAAGGGGUAUAUGCCCGGUUCAAAAAAAAGAAAAAAAAUAGUAAAAGAAUUCAAAACAUAAUAAAAUUUUUAGGUAAACUUUGACAAAUGUUUUCUAUGAUUGCAAAAUUUCAGCACGAAAUAACAUUCGUGGAAGUCGUGAAAAAAAAACAAAAUUAGCACUCCAAAAUGUUUUCAAAACUAGAAUUUUUGGAGCAUCAGUUUUUUUCCUUUUGCCACGACUUCCACGAAUGUUAUUUUGUGUUAAAAUUUUCAAAAAUACAAAACGUUUGCCAAAGUUUACUGCAGAAAAAUUCAGAAUUUUUUAUAUUUUUAACUUUUUUUUUGCUGUUCAUGAAGGAGCAUUUGAGCUCGGGAGCACAUAUUGCACGUCUGUAGAACCAUGUUGUCCAUCGGACACAUGCUCUAGGUAAUCCAUUUUGCUAAUUCUAAGUCGAUUUUUCCUGCAAAUUUUUUUCUAAGUCGAUUUAGACUUAUUAAAUGUAAGUCAACUCGAUAAUCACCUGAUUUACGUGGAGUUUCAUGUGCACUUUUUCCUUUGUUUUCUUUUCCGGAAUGCUAAAAAUCCGACGUCAGAUUAUUAAGCAUGGCUUCUUAAAAAAGGUUUAUUGAGCAUAACAAAUCCAAGGUUUUCUUAGGGUAAAUUGUGUGCCGUGAGCAUGAGAAUUUUUAAGCAAGCACUGACAAAUCCUUGCAAAAAAGAGAACAUGCUAGUUGAAGUGAAUUGCCACGCUCACGACACACAAUUUGCCAUAAAAACAUGCAACUUGCCAUAAAAACGUGCAAUUUGCCAUACUUAAAAGCCUGACAUCAGAUUUUUAGCAUAGUCCUUUCUUCUUCCCUUCUUUUCCGUUCUUUCGUGCAAGUUUUAAGUCACUUUGUGUUUUCUUAAGUCACUUUGUGUUUUCUUGUACGCGGAACUGUAGUUGCAUGAACGCAAUCCUAUGGUAAUUUUUCUUUUUUUUGGUCACUUGAUACAUAAUUUAUGCUGGUUUUUUGUUUACACUUUUGUUUUAUUUUACACUUACCUAUGGUUGCAUGCCCACCGUCCGGGCGUAACAAGACGCCGCGACGCGCACAAUUUUACCUGCACGUUCGCCCUUUCCCGUGCAAUUGCACACACAACAUCUCACACGUAACUGCAGAUGCAGCAACCCUGCACGUAACUGCAGAUGCAGCAACCCUGCACGUAACUUUACACUAUGGAGAUAACAUCAAUUUCCCAGCCGCCACUCUCUUCAACCCCUCCUCUGAUGCUGCCGCCUAGGAUCCUAGACCUGGUCUGUUACAAUACCCAACAUGAAUGACAGCCAAAUCUUUGAAUCGGUCCACCACCUCCUUCGGCAUAGGCAUGGUGUCGAUCAUAUAUGACUUUGCUGUUAUUGAUAUCUUAGUUUUUAUGUUUUCUUAAAUCUACCUAUCUUACCUACUAUAUACUUAGCUCGCUGGCCUCACGCAGCCGCCUCCUCUCCAGGAAAAAUAUUAGGGUUUCUCUGCCUCCCACCAGCACCGCCGUCAGUCCGCCUCGUCUCUGGUGGCCUUAGGACCAUGGGGCGUGGUGGAUCCUGACCCUUGCCGGUGAAAGCUCUGUUUUUAGUUUUUUUUGAGUUUUUUUAGGGUUUGUGUCCUACUCACGAAGGUGAGACGGCGGUGACUCCCUGAAGAUGAAAUAAGUUAGGGAUUUCUUUCUCCAUGGGGAAUGGAACCGGGACCCAAUUCUGGCUGGACCCAUGGUUGGGUGCAAAACCGAUCUGCGUGAGGUAACCGGACCUGUUCUCGAUUUGUGCGAACCCGACCACCCUUGUCUCUUCGAUGCUACAGGAUGGGCAAUGGCAUGUUAGAUUUCGCCGCACCUUUGGGCAAGCAGAGAGUGAAGACUGGAACAGGCUUCGGGAUACGCUCCCACACGUGCUGCCGGUGCACCCGGAUACUGUGGCAUGGAGGCUCACCCCGACGGCCGAGUACUCGGUGAGCACGACAUACCAUGCUCUAUGCCUGUCAUCGGCCACACCCUGGUUAGAUCCAAUGUGGAAAACUCCCGCACCCUUGAAGAUUAAGAUAUCCGUGUGGCAGCUUUUGCGCAAUCGCCUCCCCUCGGGGACUGAGGUACUUCAGCGACAAGGCCCAUGGAAUGGCCUGUGUCCUCUCUGCGUGGUACCGGAGACGAGGCGUUGGGGCUCGAUUGGGAGGCCUUGAAUCUUGUGGACUUCCUCCAACUUAGGGCUACUCAGCCAUCACGACAUCGCCGCCUUUUCUGGCUCAUUUUUGCGGCGAUGUCGUGGACUCUAUGGACUACUCGUAAUAAAAUGGUGAUUGAGAUGGUCCUCCCGUGGAAGGCAUCUGACUCAUACUUCAAAUUCGUCGCUUUUCUGCAGCACUGGCACCCGCUAUCGAGGCAGCGUGACCGCGCCCGGCUCGGCACCAUGCUGGAUGCGCUUCUGGCUACGGCUCAUCGGCUUUCUUCAUCGUAGUGCCGCAUGCUGACUGCCACUAGGUGGCUUUUUUUCCUGAUUUCUUUUAUGUUUUCUUGGGCAUGCUUGUGUUGUGGCCCCAGCCGUUGUUUCACGUCUCAGACUUGAAUAUUUGUAUGGACCUAUGCUUUAUCUAUAAAGUGGGGCAAAAACCUAUUUCGAGAAGAUGGAAUAAGUUCUCCCCGCCUAGCCCCAUUUCGUGGUGCGUCUAGCAUUGUCGGUGGGUAUGGAGGUGUGUCUCCGGCAGAUCUCUUUGGUGGAUUUGGUUGUCGUUCAUCUUCGUCUAUGUCUCUUCAGGUUGGGUCCUUCACAUCUACGCUACUCUUCAUCAGCAGCGGUUAUUGUUCUGAUGCGCUGGUCCUAUGGGGCAUUAGGACAACGACUUCCCGACUAUCUUCUGGCUCCGGCGAGGGAGGGACGAAGAUGACGGCGCGCCUUCGACUCGCUUAAGUGAUUGUAGUUGUCGCUUGGUGGUCUACGGAUCUGGAUGUAAUAUUUAUUAUUUUUGUUAUUCGUUCUACUACCAUGAUUGAAGAUAAAUAAUUGGAUUUUUUUCAAAAAAAAAAAAUUUAUCUUUCUUUCUUUUUUGUAAAUUGGUGGUGUUUGGCUAUAUGCACUUUAGCUAUGCAGAGGCCGUUGUUACUCAUCAUGCUUUAUAUCUACUUGAUGCUACAUUUUAAGUUAAUAAAAAACAUAUUUAUAAAAAAAUCCCUUUUUGUGGGAAAAAAUUUCCCCUUUCUACAUUUGUCAAAGUCUCAAGUUGUUAGUAGAAAACAAGGGUUAAGGCCAAUUCCACUGCCACUCAUGUGACACCAAUUUCAACAGCCCGAGCUGUAGUGACUUUUUUAUUUCAAACUAGUUGGCUGCCCGUGCGUUGCCAUGUGCCAACAAUCAUUUCUUCUCUCUAUUCUAGCAAACACCAUGCAUCACUUUAGCUGCUCUUUUUCAUUGAACUUGUCGUCGAGCACAUUCUCUUCCCAUACAUCAUUUAGCAUCUCAAUCAUUGCCCCUUGCUUCCCAUACAUCAUUUAUCCUCUCAAUCGUUCCCCUUGACUCUACAUGUAGCUUCUAUGUCAUCAUUUUGUUGUCUCACUCUUACUAUGUACGUCGUCUAAAGUGAAACACCAUAAAAGAUGUGAGAUAUAAGGCACCUCACUGUACUAAAAAUAAUAAGAAAAGGGGGCAUAUGGACAUGAAAUAACGCAGGCGCCAUUCCAAUGUUGGCGUCAGUGAAAUACCGCAUCCGCUUUGGGCCUGCGUCAUUGCGAAGCGGCCGCUCUAGAGUGGCAUGUAUGCAGGACAUCUAGCGUCCGUCGGGAACGCACACGGGCAAGUGAAGAGGGUUUGGGUGAGUCAGGGUAGUCAAGAGCGGGCAUGGUAGCGGUCCGUACGCUCACAAAGGCUCCCCUCCCACUUUGUCUCUGUUUGCAAGGAAAAGCGUGUCCGGACUGGCCUGCGGGCCGAUACAGGACCGCGUCCGAUGGAAGAACACAUCUGGAGGGUUGCUGGUGGUCUGAAGGUCGGUGUUAGAGAUACCCUAAGACUUUUGUUGCAUCGUUGUCAUCACAUCUUCUCCUCCACAAGCCCUUCCACUUUGAUUCUACAGAAUAUAACUAAAUGAGAACCUCUUUUGUCAUUGUGUCACCAGUAUGUUACGUUGUCACCCUGCUCCAAAUCCACUUUGAUCCUACUAAAAACAGGUAAAUAAGAACCAAGAAAGAAAGAGGUAUACAAAAAACAUGUCAAUUAUUAUUCAGUAACUAACCAAUGGCUUCGAAAUCGGUUGAGAAAUAGUUGAAGCCAAUCUGUUUUAACCAUUGUCAAAGGGAUUUGAUGAACUUCAAAGAAAAUUUCACGAGCACCCUCAAUUUGUUCAACCAAUUUAUGCUUACUCAAUAGCUCCAGAACUUGUGGAAUAUAAGGAAUAUUAUAAAAGUUAUACCCUGAAAGGUGAAUAAUUAGCUAUGUUUCUUAUUGUUUCAAAGCAUAGACGAAUAACCUUUUUGGUUGCUUCCAGGGAUGAGACAUACAACAUGAUAUAAGUAUUCAAUGGCAACUGACUGAACCGUAGUAGAAGAAGCAGAGUUAUCCCAUCCACUGCUAGCCUAGCAUCAGGAACUAGGUCUGGGCUAGUGCCUCCACGGUAGGAACCAACCACACUUGCGUCCCCAACCAAUCUUGGUGGACCGGGGGAGGGGGGUCCAUUGCUUGCUGCUGACCUCCGUGAAGCAAGCCUCGGCCAUAGCCCUGUGACCUUGGCCCAGAAAAGUAAUCACAACGCCACGUCUGUGACCAUCAUCCCCGAUGCACUCGAUGGCGUGGCAAUGUAACGACCACCUCCACCUCGGACCGUGCCCACAAGGAGAAAUCUUGCUGCACGGGGGCAUCACCCUGACCGAGCCCAACCACACCUGCCCGAAGUAGGAACCACCAUCCCGCCUCGAGCCUAGAUCCGGUCCGCCUGAGCACAAGCCCUAGAUCCAAGACCAGGCUGUCAGAUCCUUGACACUGAUGUCUCUACAGGAUUGCACCGCCUUCACCACGCCCAUCGCCUCGACCUACAAGGGUCUCCGCCACCACCCCGUGUUGCCUGCUCUACACCAACCGCCAAAGGAGACGGCUUGAACAAAGCCAACACGCCACCGCCAGGCCGGAUGCACAUCCCACCAUGCCCAAGCCCUCCACCAGAUGGAUCCAAAUUGGAACAGACCAGGCAAGCUGGAGCCACUCCUGCCACGCUCAAGCCGUCAUGGCAGAUCACUCCCCACCAGAGACCCAAAGGUCCUCUGUCCACGCCCCACGCGACAAGCUAAAUCCUAGCUACAACCCUGUCGAAUCUGGCCAGGACUUGGCCCACACGCAACCGCCCGAUGCCAACACAACCGCAUCCACUGCACUUCAAAUGGGCCCAACAUAUUUAUAAGGCAAGAAAAUUAAGUAUUGUUAGAAUUGGAAAAAGAAUACCAGAUAAUAGGUGCAAGUUGCUUCAUCUUCUAUUUAUUCUUCAAUACCAAACGAGGUUUUAUUUAUUGGAUUUCCACUAAAGCUGCAUUAACAUAUGGAAAUACGGAUGAAACAAUAUAAAAGGAAUGUAACAUAGCUUAUCAUUGGUGUUCUUAAAGAAAGAGCAAGUAUAUGGCAACAAUAUCUAUGCAUUUACGAAUUGAAUAUGCAGAUUGAAUUAGAUAGCUACAAGUAACAAACUAAAAGAUAACUCACGAAGUUUCAAUAAAAUUGGCAAGUUAUCUUAUAGUAUUACUCCUAUUAGAAACUUCAUGCAUAGGUUGUGAAAAUAAUCAUUUUUUCAUGGACUCAUAACACAUAACCAUACCACGUUCACAUGUUUAUGCACAUGAAGAAAACCAGAUACAACUGUGUAAGUUAAGAGAAUGUGGGACUGUAUCCUUCAACGUAUUACUGGAUAAGCCCCUAUAGGGAAAAAUAGGAAUAUUUCAUAAAUGAGAAUCAAUCUAUAGAUUAUUUGUCAUGAGCCUGCAUAUUGCAGAUGCUUAGGGCCUAGAAGCUACACUAAACAAAAGCCGGCAGGUAAACAGGAGGAAGCUUCGACCUUUCAGUCGGCGUCCAGCGCACAUCACUGGCCCCGAACGGACCAAGUAAUGAGAUUGGUGUGUCCAAUGAGGAGCCGGCGUGUAGGUGUUUAUUGAUUUUUCUUUUAGUAGCUUUUGCUUAUGCUAUAUGCUGGUUGCUUUUGGGCAUAUUGUAAAUUGAACAUGAACCAUGCAUCCUCCUUUGCUCUCAUUCUACCUGCUGCUGCUGCAGGCCUGCAGCUACCUAUACCCAAUCUUUUUGUUCUUUUCUGCUCUAGUUCCUUUGAUCUGCUCCUUUCUACUCGCUGCGACAAAGGUCAGGUCACUAACAUUAUUUAAACAUGGAAAGUGAAUGUGCACCUAGUAAAUGUCAGUGAGUGUGCCACUAUAUGUGCAUCCAAUUCAAUUCGUAUUUUUUUUUUGCUGACGAAACUGAUCUCCAAAACAGUGUGGACUAAAUUAUUUUAAAUUGCAAUGAUGUGGAAAACUAAAAAGCCAAUUUAUUACAUCACCAAUAACAUCAAAAGAGAAGUAUUUGAACUGGCCACGAGACUGAAUAUAAAUUUGGAAUUUGUAUAUGUUAUGAAAAUUUAUAUUCUUACAUCUACUUUUUACCUGAUCCCUUUAACUCAAAGGUAAAACACGCUACAGAAUUUUGCAUGUACAUGUGCACAUGCAGUUAGGGGCUAGGGGCAAGCUACAAAAUUAUUCAGUCCAGCUUCAAUAUAUAUUCAUCUAAACUAUGAUUCAUUCACAACUACAUCAAUUGUCAUGCUGAGAAAGAGAAAGCUCUGAUACUUAAUGCUUAUAUUUCUGAAAAUUUGGUGGUCCAACACAACAUGAAACAUUACCGGUACAUGAUGUAACACAGACAUAAAUCAAGGUUCUCCCUUGCCAUGCUAUAAGCUCCAUAUGCAAUUCAUCAAUGCCCAUCAGCCUUAUCCACCAAAAUAUAGCCCUGACACACAAACAAUAGAGAUGCAAGUUUAGGGAUAUGUCAUUAGCACGCACCAAAAGAAUUUGUAUUAACAACUUCAUUCAAUCCCAACCGCCAAUUCCCGAAGCCAACUUAUUAAAUCAAAUCAGUAAGUUGGCAUGCUCAAUAACAAAUUAGUAAGAGAGCCCGACGAACACGACAAGCCAAAGAAUCUUCGAGAACUCGUCCACUUCUUUUACAGCCAUCUCGCCCGACGCAGCUGCAUACCUGAUGUACCCUCCGCUUCGCUCCAUCUGUUCGAGCUACCCCUGCCCAAGCCUGACCCAACCUAGCUUCGCCUUGUUACAAGGUGCAUCAGUGGAUAGAAAACAGCCAGCUGACCUGGGCGGAUGAGAGGCCACCACUGGAUAUCUGGAUCUCGUUCCAAGCCUCUCUCCAUCACCUCUCGUUGUUCCAAGACGCCACUGGAUCCCAUUCCCCGGUUGCCUGAGGCUGCCAGUGGAGGGACAUGUGACGGCUAGGGCAUCGCGGCAGGGGGGGCGUGCUUAGGUCUAAUGGCCGUCGUGUGUUAGGCCGCCGGGGUCGCCGAUGGGGUGGUGGUCCAUCUACUGGGGGCGUCGGCAUCACUGACGUGGAGGCGGCGUGGCGGGGGUGGGAGAAGGCGACGCUCCUUUUUUUCUUCCACUCCAUCGUGGAUUAUUAUGCAAAGAGAUUGCAUUAUUACCAGAAAGCGGGGAGAUUGCCGAUUAUUCCAUCAGGAGAGACCUGGGCGAAGGAAAGAGAUCUGGUGUACGAUUGGAAGCUAAACGAUCGAAACGAACGACAUACCAUGACCUACCAUCACGACCGCAGACUCCUCUUUAGGAGUAGAGAUUGGGAGGCGGGGAUGGGUGCGGCCAACGAAGUCGCGGUAGGUCGUCAUCUUCCAGGAAGACGGCGCCCCGCGGGAGGUCGGCGUUGACCAGGAAGGCGGCGGCAGCGCACAAACCUAGCUUCCGAGCGGGCUGCCGCUGAGCGGAACCGUUCGCUUGCCAAACAGGAUGAAACAACCCGUGGACGAGGGUGUUGGUGUGACGAAAAAAGACAAAAAAAUCACGAAACAGAUAACAAAUUAAAUAGGUACAUAAAUGCUUUCAUGAUGAGGUUUAUUUGUUUCCAGAAAAUUCGUUAUUUGUUUCUAUAAAAUCUGUUAUUUGUUUCUUAAGAUAAAUUGCAUUAAUAAGAGAGAUCGGUUGAUUUGGACAAAUUAGGAAAGUUUAGUCCGUGAUUUUUUAUACGUUAGGAAAGUGCUGCUUUGCUAAAAAAUGAAGAGAAAAAUAAACCAACGUGGAGAAUGGUGGUGGGAGGGGAGAUGAAAAAAACCAGUGAAAAAAAAGAUUGAAAGUGGUGGGACAAAAAUAAACCAUACUCAACCAACUCAGGCAUUAGGAGUAGAGAUAUGAAUCAACAGGAGAGCUGGCUUCUACCUCCGAUUUAUGGUGGUUCUUUCCUCUUCUUUUCGACCCCUUGCUCUCGUGCUUGCAAACCGAUAUUCACUUGUUCAACCUGAACUUGAGGAAUCACUUCGCUCACAUGGAAGGCAAACGAGUGAGAUAUCUGUAUUACCGGGUUAGCCACGUGGACAAUGAAAACUGGCCUAGCCUUUCUAUCCAUCAGGCUGUUGUACCGGCACCACCUAACGUCGGUAGAGUAGAGCAAGGCAGCAACCCAGGAACCUGGACAAGGACACACACAGGAUCAGCUGACCCGUCCGAGCCAUCACCACGGCAUAAUACCACGCAUUAGCUCACGCCAGCUGCACUCCAAAGAGAAAAACCACGUCUCCCAAGAAAAACAAAAUGGCAAGUUGACAAGGACAACACAAGGGGCCGUGGCUUUCUCCGCCCUCCGUUUCGGCCGAAACCCAGCGGCCGUCAGCUCGCUCGCUCGCUUCCUACCAAACAAGGCGGCGGCCAUUCAUGGCGUGCGCGCGGAGCCGUAGACGUCCAAAACCACAGCGGACACGGCCCACCGUUACCUGCCCGCGCGCGUAUAAAGACCACACCCUUCCCUUUAGCCGCAGCGCCAUAAUCUCCGAGCUGCUAGCGCUACAGUCCCCAUCAACAGUUCAGGCUUACAGCUAGUUGCAGUACUACACGAGUACACCACCAAGCCAACGCCCAACAGAGAGGUUGUAGUGCCAUUGGGAGGAUGGCUUCGAUCGUGCUGCUGCUGUCGGAGCUGCUCGGCGGCGCGGGAAGCACCAGCAUGCUGGAGGCCAGCUGCUACAUGGGCGGCCACAGCCUGCGGGAGUUCCAGCCCGCGGCGGCCAACGGCGAGCGGGCGCCGGCGGAGCCGAAGCUGCGGGGAACAACCUCAACGGAGGUGAAGGAUGAGGAGCCGUCGUCGUCGUUGGACCUGGAGGAUCUCUCCGCCGUGUCCAGGAUAUCGGUGGACGUGAUGUGGCCCUGAGCCUGCCGCCAGCUCCCGCUGACUCGGGAGGUUGCUCUGUGUUUGCUUGCCGAGGACGAAGAAGAGAUGUGAUGUGGUUCCUCGUUGCCUCGAGUUCUAUGAAAUGAAGAUGUAAAUAUGCAAAGCCACCGCUGAAUGUUCUCCCUGUGUUCCUUUUCGUCUCGUGACUUUCUCUUUGGGGAUUCAACCAUCUGAUCAGAUCAUAAUCAACCGAACUCGUUUGCAACAUUUUUUUCUCGUAAUAAUCGACCGGGUACUGACAAUAAUCCCAUGCUAAUUGCAGAACUAAAUGGUUCUCGUAAUCGGGCGGAUAAUGACAGUCCAUCCAGCGGGUAUACCCACCCACCUUCUCUGCGUGGACUGCAGAAAACAACACAUUUUCCGUAUACAAACUUGCAGUCCAGUCUGAGAUAUUGCUGUAACUGAACUUUUUGUACUUUUAACAGCAUUUUUUUUUGUCUUGGCCUUGCAAGGCAUUGUUCAGGUAAACCACAAGAGCUCUGGAGUUUUUAAGUCCCACAUUACAAAUAACAUCAAACAGAAUUGCAAAUAGUAUCAAAGAUCAUACUACUCCAUGGGUGGUGGGUUGUCUUUGAUAGUUCGAUUCCAAGCAUAUCUGCCAUUCCUGCGAUUUUGUCGAUGUAUAUUUUAAGCAACCAUUGCGUGUGGUUUAGCAGAAACGUUUGCUAGGAUAUAACUAUGUGGGAAGAGGUUACUGGAAAAUAUUGGUGGCCUUGCACAGAUCAUACACCGGCGGAGUGACCUUCAAGAAACCGCUGGAAGUUCUAAAACCACCACAGAGCAGCCUAGAGUAAUUGCCCACAACGAUUGUUCAUAUUACAAGCCCGACAGUGAUUUCCCUACAAAGCAAGCAUGCCUAGAUGACAUGUUAC
rnacentral:lncRNA from 1 species